AGAGUUUGAUCCUGGCUCAGAUUGAACGCUGGCGGCAUGCCUAACACAUGCAAGUCGAACGGUAACAGAUAAGAUGAUCUCUUCGGAGUGAAUCUUUGCUGACGAGUGGCGGACGGGUGAGUAAUGCUUGGGAAUCUGCCCAACAGUGGGGGAAAACUCGAGGAAACUCGAGCUAAUACCGCAUAAGCUCUACGGAGGAAAGAGGGCCUCUACUUGUAAGCUCUCGCUGAUGGAUGAGCCCAAGUCAGAUUAGCUUGUUGGUAGGGUAAUGGCUUACCAAGGCAACGAUCUGUAGCUGGUCUGAGAGGAUGAUCAGCCACACUGGGACUGAGACACGGCCCAGACUCCUACGGGAGGCAGCAGUGGGGAAUAUUGGACAAUGGGGGAAACCCUGAUCCAGCAAUGCCGCGUGAGUGAAGAAGGCCUUCGGGUUGUAAAACUCUUUCAUCAAUGAAGAUAAUGACAUUAAUUGAAGAAGAAGCUCCGGCUAACUCCGUGCCAGCAGCCGCGGUAAUACGGAGGGGGCUAGCGUUGUUCGGAAUUACUGGGCGUAAAGCGUAUGUAGGCGGAUCAAAAAGUUAGAUGUGAAAUCCCUGGGCUCAACCCAGGAACUGCAUUUAAAACUAGUGAUCUAGAAUUUGGUAGAGGUUAGUAGAAUUUCCAGUGUAGAGGUGAAAUUCGUAGAUAUUGGAAAGAAUACCAGUGGCGAAGGCGACUAACUGGGCCAUUUUUGACGCUGAGAUACGAAAGCGUGGGUAGCAAACAGGAUUAGAUACCCUGGUAGUCCACGCAGUAAACGAUGAGUGCUAGUCGCUGGGUCAAUAGAUUCGGUGUCGAAGCUAACGCAUUAAGCACUCCGCCUGGGAAGUACGGUCGCAAGAUUAAAACUCAAAUAAAUUGACGGGGGCCCGCACAAGCGGUGGAGCAUGUGGUUUAAUUCGAAGCAACGCGAAGAACCUUACCAGACCUUGACAUGGUGUGUUUGAAUUACAGAAUCGUAAUUCUUCAGUUCGGCUGGCACACACACAGGUGCUGCAUGGCUGUCGUCAGCUCGUGUCGUGAGAUGUUGGGUUAAGUCCCGCAACGAGCGCAACCCUCAUUUUUAGUUGCCAUCAGGUUAUGCUGGGCACUCUAAAAAAACUGCCGGUGAUAAGCUGGAGGAAGGCGGGGAUGACGUCAAGUCCUCAUGGCCCUUACGGUCUGGGCUACACACGUGCUACAAUGGUGGUGACAGUGGGCAGCAAUGUCGCAAGACAAAGCUAAUCCCCAAAAGCCAUCUCAGUUCAGAUUGGACUCUGCAACUCGAGUCCAUGAAGUUGGAAUCGCUAGUAAUCGUAGAUCAGCAUGCUACGGUGAAUACGUUCUCGGGCCUUGUACACACCGCCCGUCACGCCAUGGGAGUUGGUUUUACCUUAAGCCGGUGCGCUAACCGCAAGGAAGCAGCCGUCCACGGUAGGGUCAGCGACUGGGGCGAAGUCGUAACAAGGUAACCGUAGGGGAACCUGCGGUUG
rnacentral:rRNA from 1 species